AACUUUCAACAACGGAUCUCUUGGCUCUCGCAUCGAUGAAGAACGCAGCGAAAUGCGAUAAGUAAUGUGAAUUGCAGAAUUCAGUGAAUCAUCGAAUCUUUGAACGCAAAUUGCGCCCUUUGGUAUUCCGAAGGGCAUGCCUGUUUGAGUGUCAUAU
rnacentral:rRNA from 5 species